AUGCUGGAGGUAUCAGAAGUGCGAAUGCUGACAUAAGUAACGAUAAAGCGGGUGAAAAGCCCGCUCGCCGGAAGACCAAGGGUUCCUGUCCAACGUUAAUCGGGGCAGGGUGAGUCGACCCCUAAGGCGAGGCCGAAAGGCGUAGUCGAUGGGAAACAGGUUAAUAUUCCUGUACUUGGUGUUACUGCGAAGGGGGGACGGAGAAGGCUAUGUUGGCCGGGCGACGGUUGUCCCGGUUUAAGCGUGUAGGCUGGUUUUCCAGGCAAAUCCGGAAAAUCAAGGUUGAGGCGUGAUGACGAGGCACUACGGUGCUGAAGCAACAAAUGCCCUGCUUCCAGGAAAAGCCUCUAAGCAUCAGGUAACAUCAAAUCGUACCCCAAACCGACACAGGUGGUCAGGUAGAGAAUACCAAGGCGCUUGAGAGAACUCGGGUGAAGGAACUAGGCAAAAUGGUGCCGUAACUUCGGGAGAAGGCACGCUGAUACGUAGGUGAAGUCCCUUGCGGAUGGAGCUGAAAUCAGUCGAAGAUACCAGCUGGCUGCAACUGUUUAUUAAAAACACAGCACUGUGCAAACACGAAAGUGGACGUAUACGGUGUGACGCCUGCCCGGUGCCGGAAGGUUAAUUGAUGGGGUUAGCGGUAACGCGAAGCUCUUGAUCGAAGCCCCGGUAAACGGCGGCCGUAACUAUAACGGUCCUAAGGUAGCGAAAUUCCUUGUCGGGUAAGUUCCGACCUGCACGAAUGGCGUAAUGAUGGCCAGGCUGUCUCCACCCGAGACUCAGUGAAAUUGAACUCGCUGUGAAGAUGCAGUGUACCCGCGGCAAGACGGAAAGACCCCGUGAACCUUUACUAUAGCUUGACACUGAACAUUGAGCCUUGAUGUGUAGGAUAGGUGGGAGGCUUUGAAGUGUGGACGCCAGUCUGCAUGGAGCCGGCCUUGAAAUACCACCCUUUAAUGUUUGAUGUUCUAACGUUGACCCGUUAUCCGGGUUGCGGACAGUGUCUGGUGGGUAGUUUGACUGGGGCGGUCUCCUCCUAAAGAGUAACGGAGGAGCACGAAGGUUGGCUAAUCCUGGUCGGACAUCAGGAGGUUAGUGCAAUGGCAUAAGCCAGCUUGACUGCGAGCGUGACGGCGCGAGCAGGUGCGAAAGCAGGUCAUAGUGAUCCGGUGGUUCUGAAUGGAAGGGCCAUCGCUCAACGGAUAAAAGGUACUCCGGGGAUAACAGGCUGAUACCGCCCAAGAGUUCAUAUCGACGGCGGUGUUUGGCACCUCGAUGUCGGCUCAUCACAUCCUGGGGCUGAAGUAGGUCCCAAGGGUAUGGCUGUUCGCCAUUUAAAGUGGUACGCGAGCUGGGUUUAGAACGUCGUGAGACAGUUCGGUCCCUAUCUGCCGUGGGCGCUGGAGAACUGAGGGGGGCUGCUCCUAGUACGAGAGGACCGGAGUGGACGCAUCACUGGUGUUCGGGUUGUCAUGCCAAUGGCACUGCCCGGUAGCUAAAUGCGGAAGAGAUAAGUGCUGAAAGCAUCUAAGCACGAAACUUGCCCCGAGAUGAGUUCUCCCUGACUCCUUGAGAGUCCUGAAGGAACGUUGAAGACGACGACGUUGAUAGGCCGGGUGUGUAAGCGCAGCGAUGCGUUGAGCUAACCGGUACUAAUGAACCGUGAGGCUUAACCUU
rnacentral:rRNA from 1 species